rnacentral:rRNA from 1 species
GAGUAGCGAGAGGUGAGUGAGAAUCUCACCCGUCGAAAACCCAAGGAUUCCUGAGCAAGGCUCGUCCACUCAGGGUAAGUCGGGACCUAAGGCGAGGCUGAAAAGCGUAGUCGAUGGACAACAGGUGGAAAUUCCUGUACCGAUACAAUCAUUAAAGGAAGUGGGGACGCAGAAGGAUAAUAAGAGCGCCCAGUUGGUGAGGCGUGCAAGCGCAAAGGAUGGAAAGUAGGCAAAUCCGCUUUCCGAGAAGUCUGAAGCGUAAUGCGGAUCGAAAACAAGUAGAGAAGCUUAUGACUCCACACUGCCAAGAAAAGCCACUACUAGAGAAAUAUCGCCCGUACCGUAAACCGACACAGGUAGGUGAGGAGAGAAUCCUAAGACGAGCGGAAAAACCUUUGUUAAGGAACUCGGCAAAAUGACCCCGUAACUUCGGGAGAAGGGGAGCCCCUGUAAAAGGGGGCCGCAGUGAAAAGGCCCAAGCGACUGUUUACCAAAAACACAAGUUUCUGCUAAGUCGAAAGACGAAGUAUAGGAGCUGACACCUGCCCGGUGCUGGAAGGUUAAGGGAAAAAGUUAGCGCAAGCGAAGCUUAGAACUGAAGCCCCAGUAAACGGCGGCCGUAACUAUAACGGUCCUAAGGUAGCGAAAUUCCUUGUCGGGUAAGUUCCGACCCGCACGAAAGGUGUAACGAUUUGGGCACUGUCUCAACAAAGGAUCCGGUGAAAUUGUAGUAGCGGUAAAGAUGCCGCUUACCCACGACAGGACGGAAAGACCCCGUGGAGCUUUACUGUAGGCUGAGAUUGAAUUUUGGGAUUAAAUGUACAGAAUAGGUGGGAGACAGAGAACAAGGUACGCCAGUAUCUUGGGAGUCACCGUUGGGAUACCACUCUUUUAAUGCUAGAAUUCUAACCUAACCCCAUGAAUCUGGGGAAGGGACACUCUCAGUUGGACAGUUUGACUGGGGCGGUCGCCUCCGAAAGAGUAACGGAGGCGUUCAAAGGUUCCCUCAGCACGGAUGGAAAUCGUGCGCAGAGUAUAAAGGCAGAAGGGAGCUUAACUGCGAGACCAACAAGUCGAGCAGAUGCGAAAGCAGGACUUAGUGAUCCGGUGGUACCGAGUGGAAGGGCCAUCGCUCAACGGAUAAAAG